rnacentral:tRNA from 1 species
GGUGCUAUAACUCAGUGGUAGAGUGCAUGCUUAGCAUGCAUGAGGUCCUGGGUUCAAGUUUAGAGUAGCUCCU